rnacentral:rRNA from 1 species
CGGUGGAGCAUGUGGUUAAGUUCAAGCAACGCGAAGAACUUACCAGGUCUUGACAUCCCGAUGCUAUUUCUUAGAGAUAGAAAGUACUUCGGUACAUCGGUGACAGGUGGUGCAUGGUUGUCGUCAGCUCGUGUCGUGAGAUGUUGGGUUAAGUCCCGCAACGAGCGCAACCCCUAUUGUUAGUUGCCAUCAUUCAGUUGGGCACUCUAGCGAGACUGCCGGUAAUAAACCGGAGGAAGGUGGGGAUGACGUCAAAUCAUCAUGCCCCUUAUGACCUGGGCUACACACGUGCUACAAUGGUUGGUACAACGAGUUGCGAGUCGGUGACGGCGAGCUAAUCUCUUAAAGCCAAUCUCAGUUCGGAUUGUAGGCUGCAACUCGCCUACAUGAAGUCGGAAUCGCUAGUAAUCGCGGAUCAGCACGCCGCGGUGAAUACGUUCCCGGGCCUU